GACGAACGCUGGCGGCAUGCCUAAUACAUGCAAGUCGAACGCUGAAGCACUCUGCUUGCAGAGUGCGGAUGAGUGGCGAACGGGUGAGUAACACGUGGGAAAUCUGCCUAUAAGAGGGGGAUAACAUUCGGAAACGGAUGCUAAUACCGCAUAUAUUCUUGGACCGCCUGGUCCUUGAAAGAAAGACGGCUUUGCUGUCGCUUAUAGAUGAUCCCGCGGCGUAUUAGUUAGUUGGUGGGGUAAAGGCCUACCAAGACAAUGAUCCGUAGCCGACCUGAGAGGGUGAUCGGCCACACUGGGACUGAGACACGGCCCAGACUCCUACGGGAGGCAGCAGUAGGGAAUAUUCCACAAUGGGCGAAAGCCUGAUGGAGCAAUGCCGCGUGAAUGAAGAAGGUCUUCGGAUCGUAAAGUUCUGUUAUUAGAGAAGAACAAGUCAAGGAGUAACUGUCUUGACUUUGACGGUACCUAACCAGAAAGUCACGGCUAACUACGUG
rnacentral:rRNA from 1 species